rnacentral:rRNA from 1 species
GUAUACGCCCUACGGGGGAAAAAUUUAUUGCUAUUAGAUGAGCCUAUAUUAGAUUAGCUAGUUGGUGGAGUAAUAGCCUACCAAGGCAAUGAUCUAUAGCUGAUCUGAGAGGAUGAUCAGCCACACUGGAACUGAGAUACGGUCCAGACUCCUACGGGAGGCAGCAGUGGGGAAUAUUGGACAAUGGGCGAGAGCCUGAUCCAGCCAUGCCGCAUGAGUGAAGAAGGCCUUUGGGUUGUAAAGCUCUUUUAGUGAGGAAGAUAAUGACGGUACUCACAGAAGAAGUCCUGGUUAACUCCGUGCCAGCAGCCGCGGUAAUACGGAGAGGGCUAGCGUUAUUCGGAAUUAUUGGGCGUAAAGGGCGCGUAGGCGGAUUAGUAAGUUAAAAGUGAAAUCCCAAGGCUCAACCUUGGAAUUGCUUUUAAAACUGCUAAUCUAGAGAUUGGAAGAGGAUAGAGGAAUUCCUAGUGUAGAGGUGAAAUUCGUAAAUAUUAGGAGGAACACCAGUGGCGAAGGCGUCUAUCUGGUUCGAAUCUGACGCUGAGGCGCGAAGGCGUGGGGAGCAAACAGGAUUAGAUACCCUGGUAGUCCACGCUGUAAACGAUGAAUGUUAAAUAUGGGAAGUUUUACUUUCUGUAUUACAGCUAACGCGUUAAACAUUCCGCCUGGGGACUACGGUCGCAAGAUUAAAACUCAAAGGAAUUGACGGGGACCCGCACAAGCGGUGGAGCAUGUGGUUUAAUUCGAUGCAACGCGAAAAACCUUACCACUCCUUGACAUGGAAAUUACACCUAUUCGAA